ACUCCUACGGGAGGGCAGCAGUGGGAAUGAUUGCACGAAUGGGGGAAACCCUGAUGCAGCCAUGCCGCGUGUGUGAAGAAGGCCUUCGGGUUGUAAAGCACUUUCAGUAGGGAGGAAGGUAGUGUAGUUAACACCUGCAUUAUUUGAUCGUUACCUACAGAAGAAGCACCGGCUAACUCCGUGCCAGCAGCCGCGGUAAUACGGAGGGUGCGAGCGUUAAUCGGAAUUACUGGGCGUAAAGCGCAUGCAGGCGGCCUUGUUAAGUCAGAUGUGAAAGCCCGGGGCUUAACCUCGGAAUUGCAUUUGAAACUGGCAGGCUAGAGUCUUGUAGAGGGGGGUAGAAUUUCAGGUGUAGCGGUGAAAUGCGUAGAGAUCUGAAGGAAUACCAGUGGCGAAGGCCGGCCCCUGGACAAAGACUGACGCUCAGAUGCGAAGCGUGGGGAGCAAA
rnacentral:rRNA from 1 species